AAUGAAAGUGACUUGCUGAUGUGUCCUCUGGAGGAUGCUUGUAGCCUAGAGUGUAGUUUGGAAUGCUGGAAAAGAAAAAGCAACACCGUUCGUGAAGUACUGUGGCGCUGCAGAAACUAAGGCCUCGACAUCAUUCUCUCACAAGUCGAUGUGGUCGUCAUCAGUGUUGUUCAGCAGAUACUUCCGGCUCUGCGCCCUCCGGGCACUCAGUAGCAGUUCACUUCCUGGCCCCACUUUACACAUGUCACUUCUGGGCCAGAGCACUGAAUUGAUGGCUUCAGGCCCUCCAGAACUCUGUUAUCCCUGCCAUGGUCUUUGGGGAAUUUUCAGGUAGUGGCUACUCUUUCAGCUUGGGUGCCAGAGUGAGAAAGAGCCCAAGACAACUGGCCAUGGGCAUGUAGCACGGGCAAGAAGAAGACUAUUGUCCUCGCAGAGACAGCCAAAUAGGUCAACCCGUGAGCUGCAUCACUGACAUGUGAUUCCUGUGACUAUUUUUCUCUUUCUCUCAGUGGCUGGUUAAGUGCAAGAUCGUUUUUAAAGAUGCAUCAGAACUCAGACAAAGGAAUAACCCUAAUGUCAUACUCAGAUAUUUUUCAGUCUUCUUACAAGGUAACCCAGUGCAGAAGCAGCGAUGGUCCUAGCCAUUUUGACGUGCUCUUUCAUGCUGGCAAAACUCACUGUUAUUAAUUAUGAUUUAUUACUUGUCUACUUGCCUCCAAGAGGACUGGAAGUAAGAUCAUUUGUUCAUUCACUCUUUCUAUAUUUGUUGAGGGCCCACUGUGUGCCAGGCACCAUCCUAAGCCUUGAGGAUUCAGCAGUUAAUAACUAUACAAGUAUCUUCUGGGGUUGGUUGUAUUCUAGUGAACAGAGAUGGACAAUAAGCAAAUAAAUACGCAACAUUAAGUUGCAAUAUGCAAAUAAGUUUCUAAUAGGCCAGUGAUGAUAAGCACCACAGUCACUAGACAGCUCAGAGAAGGAAACAAGACAGGGUCUUCCUCUGCAAAGGUAGUUAGGGAAGGUGAUGUAUGUUGAGAACCUUGAAGGAAGUAAAAAAAUGUUCUAAGCAAAGAAAAUGCUCUAAGGGAAGAAGGGUUGGUGCGUGGGACCCCGUGCAGGGGUCUUGAGGAGAGAGCAUGGUUGCUGUGUGUGAAGAACCUCAGGCCAAAGGUACUGGGGUGGAGAGAGCAACUCGAAGAACAGCAGGGACUGAGG